CAUAUAUAAAACAUAGCAUAAACAUACGUAUAAAAACAAAACAUUUUUCGUAACAGCUCAGUUUUCUUUGCGACUAAAACGUAGUGACGACGUAGACGAGAAAAUACUUAUUUGUCUUUAUCAGACCAAUAUCAGACAUCCACGCAUCGAACAAAGUUAUUAUUAGGUACUCAAAACUUGAGUAAAAUGGGAGCAGAUAAUUCAAAGCCUUCCACGAGUAAUACUAAUUAUCAAAAUCAGUUGUCGUUGCAACGAGCACUGGAACAACAGAGAAGAAUGUAUGAAGCCAAAUAUGAAGAAUUUAUACAGACA